GUAAUGCUUGGGAAUAUGCCUUAGGGUGGGGGACAACAGUUGGAAACGACUGCUAAUACCGCAUAACGUCUACGGACCAAAGGGGGCUUCGGCUCUCGCCCUUAGAUUAGCCCAAGUGGGAUUAGCUAGUUGGUGAGGUAAUGGCUCACCAAGGCGACGAUCCCUAGCUGGUUUGAGAGGAUGAUCAGCCACACUGGAACUGAGACACGGUCCAGACUCCUACGGGAGGCAGCAGUGGGGAAUAUUGCACAAUGGGCGCAAGCCUGAUGCAGCCAUGCCGCGUGUGUGAAGAAGGCCUUAGGGUUGUAAAGCACUUUCAGUAAGGAGGAAAGGUUAGUAGUUAAUACCUGCUAGCUGUGACGUUACUUACAGAAGAAGCACCGGCUAACUCCGUGCCAGCAGCCGCGGUAAUACGGAGGGUGCGAGCGUUAAUCGGAAUUACUGGGCGUAAAGCGUACGCAGGCGGUUUGUUAAGCGAGAUGUGAAAGCCCCGGGCUCAACCUGGGAACUGCAUUUCGAACUGGCAAACUAGAGUAUGAUAGAGGGUGGUAGAAUUUCAGGUGUAGCGGUGAAAUGCGUAGAGAUCUGAAGGAAUACCGAUGGCGAAGGCAGCCACCUGGGUCAAUACUGACGCUCAUGUACGAAAGCGUGGGGAGCAAACGGGAUUAGAUACCCCGGUAGUCCACGCCGUAAACGAUGUCUACUAGGAGCUGGGGUCUUCGGACAACUUUUCCAAAGCUAACGCAUUAAGUAGACCGCCUGGGGAGUACGGCCGCAAGGUUAAAACUCAAAUGAAUUGACGGGGGCCCGCACAAGCGGUGGAGCAUGUGGUUUAAUUCGAUGCAACGCGAAGAACCUUACCUACACUUGACAUACAGAGAACUUACCAG
rnacentral:rRNA from 1 species